CCUACGGGGGGCAGCAGUGGGGAAUAUUGCACAAUGGGGGAAACCCUGAUGCAGCGACGCCGCGUGAGUGAAGAAGUAUUUCGGUAUGUAAAGCUCUAUCAGCAGGGAAGAAGAAAGACGGUACCUGACUAAGAAGCCCCGGCUAACUACGUGCCAGCAGCCGCGGUAAAACGUAGGGGACAAGCGUUAUCCGGAUUUACUGGGUGGAAAGGGAGCGUAGACGGCUGUGCAAGUCUGAAGUGAAAGACCAGGGCUCAACCCUGGGACUGCUUUGGCAACUGUGGAGCUAGAGUGCUGGAGAGGUAAGUGGAAUUCCUAGUGUAGCGGUGAAAUGCGUAGAUAUUAGGAGGAACACCAGUGGCGAAGGCGGCUUACUGGACAGUAACUGACGUUGAGGCUCGAAAGCGUGGGGAGCAAACAGGAUUAGAUACCCGUGUAGUC
rnacentral:rRNA from 1 species